rnacentral:rRNA from 1 species
AGAGUUUGAUCCUGGCUCAGGAUGAACGCUGGCGGCGUGCCUAAUACAUGCAAGUCGAGCGAACGGACGAGAAGCUUGCUUCUCUGAUGUUAGCGGCGGACGGGUGAGUAACACGUGGAUAACCUACCUAUAAGACUGGGAUAACUUCGGGAAACCGGAGCUAAUACCGGAUAAUAUUUUGAACCGCAUGGUUCAAAAGUGAAAGACGGUCUUGCUGUCACUUAUAGAUGGAUCCGCGCUGCAUUAGCUAGUUGGUAAGGUAACGGCUUACCAAGGCAACGAUGCAUAGCCGACCUGAGAGGGUGAUCGGCCACACUGGAACUGAGACACGGUCCAGACUCCUACGGGAGGCAGCAGUAGGGAAUCUUCCGCAAUGGGCGAAAGCCUGACGGAGCAACGCCGCGUGAGUGAUGAAGGUCUUCGGAUCGUAAAACUCUGUUAUUAGGGAAGAACAUAUGUGUAAGUAACUGUGCACAUCUUGACGGUACCUAAUCAGAAAGCCACGGCUAACUACGUGCCAGCAGCCGCGGUAAUACGUAGGUGGCAAGCGUUAUCCGGAAUUAUUGGGCGUAAAGCGCGCGUAGGCGGUUUUUUAAGUCUGAUGUGAAAGCCCACGGCUCAACCGUGGAGGGUCAUUGGAAACUGGAAAACUUGAGUGCAGAAGAGGAAAGUGGAAUUCCAUGUGUAGCGGUGAAAUGCGCAGAGAUAUGGAGGAACACCAGUGGCGAAGGCGACUUUCUGGUCUGUAACUGACGCUGAUGUGCGAAAGCGUGGGGAUCAAACAGGAUUAGAUACCCUGGUAGUCCACGCCGUAAACGAUGAGUGCUAAGUGUUAGGGGGUUUCCGCCCCUUAGUGCUGCAGCUAACGCAUUAAGCACUCCGCCUGGGGAGUACGACCGCAAGGU